rnacentral:lncRNA from 10 species
GAGAAACAGCAUGAUUUUAUCUGCUCAUUAUUCCCUUAGCUCUUAUGUUAGCAGACUGGUUUUCAGCUUGUUUGCUCUGAAUCAAGUAAACAUAAUGUCAAUGGAGUAAUUGUGGGAUUCAGAUAAAAGAAGAACAAGUGAAUUGGCAAACACUAAAAUCACUAAAUAAUAUUUGAAGCUAAUGAAAAUGAGGAAUCAGUCUGCAACUGGGAAAUCUAAGAAUAGUAUCAAUUUUUUCUUGCAGACUUUAGCACUAAUUUCUCUCCUCUUCAACUUCAAGAUGUCAUGUAAAAUGUCAUUUGUGCAUGUUUUGCUAAACGAACAAGGCAAUUGGCAUCCCUUACUGUCCUGGUGGAAAGGAACGCAAAAUUCCCCAUCAUAAAUGGAGUAAUCAGGACCCCUGUAGGCCCAACUGCAUCUGGACUCGGAGAGAUUGACUCUGCUGCCUAGAGAAAGACCUGAGACAGAGGGUGAGAAGAAUUCAGAUUAUAACUGCAGCAGGACUCGGAGGCAGAAAUAUGAAGACCUGGCACAGGACACCAACAGUGUCUGCUACAGUCAUUCCUGAAAUAGUCUGAUGUUAAAGUGAAUGUGUUAAAGUGAAUCUCAUUACUUUUGAGAUUGGACAUGUACUUGGAAAAUAGAGAGACAAAGAGUAAUGGAAAAUUUUAUAUCAGAUCUCAUAGAAAACAGAUGACAUACUUUUCUCCUUAUCAAUUAAAGUUCAGCACACAUCUCUCCAAAACAAUGUGUAGUUCCCAAGAGAUUCAAUUUCCAGGUUGAAUGAUAAAUAGAAUUAUUCAUAAGCAAAGAAUGAAAAUGAAUGAAAAAUUGUUAUAUAUGGAUAUAAACAUGUUUCAUCUCUGUCUUUAAUUAGAACUUCUAAUAUCACCACUAUAAAUGAAUAAUACUUCAUGACUAAAUUACCUUUAACAUAUACUUCAGGAGAGCAAUAUCUUUUGGAUGGUAGACUAAAAUAAAUAUAAGUGUGCUUCAAGAGAAAUGCAAGGACUUCUUACAUGUUUUAUGGUGCUACACGUUAAAGGUAAUACCUUGGAGUGGAACUGCUAGUUCAUAUGGUAAGUCCAUGUUCAACUUUAUAAGAAAACAUUAAGUUAUUUUCCAAAGAAGUUUUACCAGUUUACAAUUGGAUCACACUCAGAUUCAGCAAAUCACAGGUAGCCUCUACAGCUAUAACAGGAGCUCUUUAUGGGAGAGGCAUAGAGAUGAAGUUUUUCAUUGAAGGUAACUGAGAGACACGGAAGGUAAUAACAUGAGAGAGGAAUGAUUACAUUUGGACAUUUGAGCAAUAAAUGUGUUGACAAUGUGGAAAAUAGAUGGGAGGGUAUGAAAUCACUGAAAGAUCAAUUAGGAUGAUAUUUCACUAAAGAAAUAAUGAGGGUCUGAAGUAAGGCAGUAGCAUUCUGAUGAAACUGAAAAAUAUUUAGGUUAUAAAAUUGACUGUAGUUUUGACUAAGUAAGUGCAGAUAACGAAGAACAAUGAGAAAUCAAAGAUAACUAAAGAUUUCUUGCUUGCAAAAUGGGAUAGUCAACGGUAGAAACUGAGACUAUAUGAAGACGGGUGGGCCUUUCUCUCUCCUUCUCUUCAUUUUUGAACAGAAGGGAGGGGAAAAGUGACCAAGAGUUUAGUUUUGGAUACAUAAAGCUUGACUUCCUUGUGAAUCACACCAGCUUCCCUUCUUUCUAACAAUAUGACCUUGAAAAAGUUCCUUUAAUUCAGUUAUUCAUAAGUGAAGGAGAAAAAGAAAGUUGUUGUGAAGAUCAAAUUAGGAUAAUAUAGUCAAUAAAUGUUACCUGGAAUGUAAUCUCCAUGAGGUCAGGAAUCACACCUUAAUGGGUUACAAUUACCUAAGUACUCGAAUAUUCAUAGAAUUAACAAACUCAGGUGGAAAUAUGCAGCUUGAGUAGAUAUGUGGGAAAGGUGCUUAGGAUAAAGGUCUGAAUUUGUUAUAUAGAUUUGGACAUCGUGAUCCUACGAUUUCCCUCUCACCCAGGCAAAGAAAGGAAGAAAGGUAAGAAUAAGGCUCUAGCAUCUCCUCUCUGGAGAUGACAUACACACAUCAUAUGCAUAUGGGCAUGGAGGAAGGGGUGUGGGGAGAGGUGAGUUUAGUGAGUAUACAAGUUAGAAGUCAGGAGUGGAUGGUAUCAGAGGAUUCUCAGAAUGCAGAGAAGAAGAGAGAGUUUGUAAUAGGACACAUGUGGUAGGCCCUUAAAGAAGCCCUAAAUACAGAGUAAAGAUUAGACUGGGAAUUAUUUUCCUUCCUCAUUGAAGAAUGAGUCCAUGUAUGGAAUCUCCCCUUGGAAGCUAUCCCCCUGGAGCUUGUAGGGUACAUAGGUGCCAAAAGUGAUCGUUGGUUCCUUGCUCCAAGCUUUGUUUUCUUUUCUUUCUUGUUUUCUUCCUUUGCAGUCGUUGUUGUUGUUUUUUUCUUUUCUUUUUUUUUUUUUGAGACAGAGACCUGUUCUGUCUCCCAGGCUGCAGUGCAAUGGCAUGAUCUCAGCUCACUGCAACCUCCGCCUCCUGGGUUUAGGCCAUUCUUCUGCCUCAGCCCCCAGAGUAGCUGGGAUUAUAGGUGCCUGCCACCACAGCCGGCUAAUUUUUUUUUUUUUUUGUAUUUUUUAGUAAAGAUGGAGUUUUGCCAUGUUGGCCAGACUUGAUAUAUCUCUUGAUCUCUCUCCUAUCUAGAAAGACUCUGGGAAAAUUAAGUUCACUUCUAAACAGUUAGUAUUUUUAAUUCUUUUUAAAGUGCCCUGUUUCAAAUCUGCCAAAAUCUAGACAGGUCUCUCCCUGAAAUCAAUACUUUGAUUCAACUAAACACAAUGAACAAAACACUUCAGAGCAACAACAGGAAAAAAUAAACUGAUAAUAGGGUAUCAUUUAUUCCAUGUGCAAACUCAGUCUACGUCCCAGUAUUAUCUAUACAGCCUUCUGUUUUCUGCCUGAGGAAGGGAAAUUUCAGUUUUGCCAGUUGGUCCUGUGCUCUGAUCAACAGUUAUUUGCUUGAUGAUAAUAAUCAGACAAAAGGCAAAAAGGGACCAAACCAAGGUGCAACAAGUGGGAAAGUGGUAUUCUAAACCUAUUCCAUUUUUCUGAGGAAAAGUUUAGGCCUCCACCUACCUCUCAAUCCAUUGGCUUACAUUUUUGCAAGUUCUCAUUUUGCGUCAUUUGUGACUAUUUCUCUUUAAUCUAAUGGGGAAAACCCAGUGGGCAGGCCACCUGGAUCUCUAUACAAAUAAAUUGUAAAUAUUAAAUUGCAUGUGUUAUUUAUUCUCUCUCAUAAAAAAUCAUGUAACUGUCGCAUGGAAAAGUUUGCAGUUAACUUUGAAAUAUCUUACUUAUAUAUCUUACUUGUUUAUAAUGUUAGUAACUUCUGUUUCCAUAUAAAAAGGAAAAUAAUUUUGUGAAUAGUAUCAUGGAAUUUCAACACUUUUGGAGAGAAAGUGAAUAUUCUGUCUCAGUAUUUGAAGACCUCUCCUAAACAUCUCUUUUCUUAAAAAAAAAAAAUUGUUUAGAGACAAGGUCUUGCUCUGUCACCUGGUCUAUAAUGCAGUGAUGUGAUCAUUGUUCACGGUAACCUUGAACUCCUGGGUUCAAGCGGAUCUUCCUGGCUCAGCCUCCAGAAUAACCAGGACUGCAGGUGCGUUCCACGAUUCUGGGCCAUAUUUUACUUUUUUUCUUUCUUUUUUUUUUUUUUUUUUUUUUAAGAGAUGGGGGGGUCUCAUUAUGUCACUCAAGGUGGUCUCUAACCCCUAGCCUCAAGUGAUCCUCCUGCCUCAGCCUCCCAAAACAUUGGGAUUACACACAUGAGGCACCAUGCCCAGCCAAAUGUCCCUUUUCUUCUUUGGCCUUUGGUCUUUCUCCAAAUUGUCAUUUUUGCAAGAAAUGUAAACCUUGAAUUUUUAAGUGAUUCUGAAUUCGGCCACUGGGAUUGAGUUUGAAGAUUUCUGUCCAUCAGAACUCUGCUCCUUCUCAUCCCAAAUGCUCCUGCUAUUUCCCCUGCUUUUCUUCUUUCCCUCACUUCCUUUUUAGACUCAGCACAUGGUGGUUGUUGAAGUCCAAUGAGCAUAUUAGUUAGCCACAGGAAAAUGUGCAGAAGACAGCAGAGGAAAAACUGGUGUCAUAGCAUUUAUGAAGAAUAAGAGUUUACUAACGGAGAUGAAGAAGAAAAAAAUUUAACAGUGAGAGAAAAAUAAAACUGGAAAGAAUGUCAGUUAGUGAAAGAGAUCAUUAGAGAAGUGGUGAAAGUUAAGAUUUGUGAGGUAGAUGGUAUCAGAUCUUGGAUGCCCAUUACUGUCAGGCUGAGGUGUUUGGCAUUAACUGUGUAGAUCAUAGAUUCCAACUGAACUUUUUUGAGCAGGAAGUGAGUAGAUGAAAAAGAAGAACAAAGCUUUGUUUUAGAGAAGUGGAUCUGGAAUAUAUUUAUAUCAUGGAUUCUAUGCAUGUAGCCUUUGUCAUACAGCUGUAACUUAUGUUUAAAAGUCUCAAUUGGGUGUGUGUGUGUGUGUAAGUUAACUUUAAUCUGUAUUUUAAUGGCUGUUGCUUAAUUUGAAUAACUUUAAUUAGGAAUACAUACUUCAGAGAUGAUUGGUUAGUUUAGCCAGAUUUAGCCAAAUGCCAUAUUUCACUCAAAUGUGUUCCAUGAUCUUUAGUUCUUGUGAGUUUAACUAAUACAGGAGAUGUUAGAAAUGAUUUUUCAUUGGUGAUGUUAUUCAAAGUAUCUUGAUUUGGUUAGCAUGUUGGACCUUUCAGAGUAACAUCCUAGGCCCAAAACUCUUGAAUCAGCCCUUCAUUCAGACAUGGAAUAAAUAAUUAUGUAACUAUAUUCGAACCAGAUGAACAGCUGAGUUCUUCUACUAGAAGACUGUCAUUUAUGCCUUGAGACGCAAGAUUCUCACUAGAAUCCCCAAAAUGAUAACAAAUUGGACUCUACUGAACUUGUAAGAAAAGGUGAUAUGACUGUUUUUGUCACUGUUUCCUAAUAAAUAUUUGCAUGUGUAUUAGUAUUCUGAAAUUCAUAUUUAUCUUAUUUACUAUCUGGUAGUGGCAUUGUAAGAAACAAAAAACUUAAUGGCUUUCACCUAACUAGUUAUUGGAGGCUAAUGGUAUUUAUUAAACAAAUAAAAAACUAGUAAUUGUGAAUGUCAAAACUGGUUUGGGCCAGCAUACAAUAGACUGAAGAUAUAAAACAAAUUUUCAAAACACAUUAAUAGUGUCUCUGUGAAGUAGAUGGUCUGGACUAGGUUAUAUGCGAGAAUAUAAAUAUUUGACAAAGGUCGAACUCAAAGUCAUAUGAACUUUAGGCAAAAUAACUUUUCUCUGAGAUGUAAUUAAACUUUUCUAUUUAAAAAAUGAAUUUAAUCCAAGAACAUCAAACAAGAACAUUAUUAUAAAAUGUAAAACAUACAUGUUUUAAAGUACUAUUUAGUAACUUUAAUUAAACUAAUAAAAAUUAGAAAGGAAGUAGAACUUCAA